ACUGGGUGUGAUGGUGCAUGCCUGGAAUCCCAAUGACUUAGGAGGUUGAGGCAGAGGGAUUGCAUGUUUGAGGCCAGCUUCAGGAACCUAGUGAAGCCCUAAGCAACUUAGAACAAUACACUGUCUCAA
rnacentral:sRNA from 1 species